CGGACGGGUGAGUAGCACGUGGAUAACCUACCUAUAAGACUGGGAUAACUUCGGGAAACCGGAGCUAAUACCGGAUAAUAUUUUAAACCGCAUGGUUCAAAAGUGAAAGACGGUCUUGCUGUCACUUAUAGAUGGAUCCGCGCUGCAUUAGCUAGUUGGUAAGGUAACGGCUUACCAAGGCAACGAUGCAUAGCCGACCUGAGAGGGUGAUCGGCCACACUGGAACUGAGACACGGUCCAG
rnacentral:rRNA from 1 species